GACGAACGCUGGCGGCGUGCUUAACACAUGCAAGUCGAACGGAAAGGCCCUGCUUUUGUGGGGUGCUCGAGUGGCGAACGGGUGAGUAACACGUGAGUAACCUGCCCUUGUCUUUGGGAUAACUUCAGGAAACUGGGGCUAAUACCGGAUAGGAGCUCCUGCUACAUGGUGGGGGGUGGAAAGUUUCGGCGGUUGGGGAUGGACUCGCGGCUUAUCAGCUUGUUGGUGGGGUAGUGGCUUACCAAGGCAUUGACGGGUAGCCGGCCUGAGAGGGUGACCGGCCACAAUGGGACUGAGAUACGGCCCAGACUGCUACGGGAGGCAGCAGUGGGGAAUAUUGCACAAUGGGCGGAAGCCUGAUGCAACGACGCCGCGUGCGGGAUGACGGCCUGCGGGUUGUAAACCGCUUGCGCCUGUGACGAAGCGUGAGUGACGGUAAUGGGUAAAGAAGCACCGGCUAACUACGUG
rnacentral:rRNA from 1 species